UACGAGGGGGGCGAGCGUUGUUCGGAAUUAUUGGGCGUAAAGGGCGCGUAGGCGGCAAUUCAAGUCAUCUGUGAAAUCUCCGGGCUUAACUCGGAACGGUCAGAUGAUACUGCUUUGCUAGAGUGCGGAAGGGGCAAUCGGAAUUCUUGGUGUAGCGGUGAAAUGCGUAGAUAUCAAGAGGAACACCUGAGGUGAAGACGGGUUGCUGGGCCGACACUGACGCUGAUAGCGCGAAAGCCAGGGGAGCAAACGGG
rnacentral:rRNA from 1 species